GUGAGGAAUUUUCCGCAAUGGGCGAAAGCCUGACGGAGCAAUGUCGCGUGAAGGAUGAAGGCCUAUGGGUUGUAAACUUCUUUUCUCAGAAAAGAAUUAUGACGGUAUCUGAGGAAUAAGCAUCGGCUAACUCUGUGCCAGCAGCCGCGGUAAGACAGAGGAUGCAAGCGUUAUCCGGAAUGAUUGGGCGUAAAGCGUCUGUAGGUUGUUUAAAAAGUAUUCUGUCAAAGAUUAGGGCUUAACCCUAGAUAGGCAGAAUAAACUUUUAAGCUAGAGUUUGGUAGAGGCAGAGGGAAUUCCCGGUGGAGCGGUGAAAUGCGUAGAUAUCGGGAGGAACACCAAAGGCGAAGGCACUCUGCUGGGCCAAUACUAACACUGAGAGACGAAAGCGAGGGGAGCAAAUGGGAUUAGAAACCCGAGUAGUCC
rnacentral:rRNA from 1 species